GGCUCAGGAUGAACGCUGGCGGCGUGCUUAACACAUGCAAGUCGAACGAAGCAUUUAAGACAGAUUACUUCGGUUUGAAGUCUUUUAUGACUGAGUGGCGGACGGGUGAGUAACGCGUGGGUAACCCGCCCCAUACAGGGGGAUAGCAGCUGGAAACGGCUGGUAAUACCGCAUAAGCGCACAGUACCACAUGGUACAGUGUGAAAAACUCCGGUGGUAUGAGAUGGACCCGCGUCUGAUUAGCUUGUUGGCGGGGUAACGGCCCACCAAGGCGACGAUCAGUAGCCGACCUGAGAGGGUGACCGGCCACAUUGGGACUGAGACACGGCCCAGACUCCUACGGGAGGCAGCAGUGGGGAAUAUUGCACAAUGGAGGAAACUCUGAUGCAGCGACGCCGCGUGAGUGAAGAAGUAGUUCGCUAUGUAAAGCUCUAUCAGCAGGGAAGAAAAUGACGGUACCUGACUAAGAAGCCCCGGCUAACUACGUG
rnacentral:rRNA from 1 species